ACCAGUAACGACCAGUUUAAACCAGUGAGGACCAUUUAAACCAGUAACAGCUCCCAGUGCCACCAGUCUGAGGACACUGGUGACACCAGUAUGAGCCUCCCGGUGCUCCCAGUGCUCCCAGUAACAGCUCCCAGUGCUCCCAGUGCCCCCAGUUACAGCUCCCACUUCCACCAGUAAGAGCUGCCGGUCCUCCCAGUCCUCCCAGUGCUCCCAGUGCCAGCUCCCAG